GAUUCCAGAUUUGAUAAUAUGUGUGUAUAUUAUUUUUUUUGUUAAAUUGUUUUAUUUUGAUAUGAUAAUUAAUUAAUAAUUAAUUGAUAAUUUGUAUAAUAAAUGUAGUUUUACCAGUUGUCAUUGGAAUUUUAAAUAGAGGUGUCACGUAUAAACUUGUAUGGUUGGUUUUUAACAGAAAACCAGUUAGAAAAGUCAGUAACCCGUAACUGAGGUUAGUAUUUGACUAAGGGGCGGAAAAGUUUGAAAUUGAUUCUAAAUAUAACUUAAGUUCUUUAAUGACACGAUAUGACGAUUGUUUGUAUUUUCGUUGUACUCUUCAAAGUAUUUUUUUCUAGCUGAUUGACUAGAGGACAACCCUUGCGGAAAACAGCUACUCCAUAUUCGGAUAUGUAUGGUUAUCAUUUUUGAGUACAACAUAAUAUGAACAAAGUUAAUGUUGAAAAUCUACGGAUUAUUAGUACGGUCGGUUAAGCAUUUAACAGUUAUUACUUCACCGUUUGAACACUUUAAACAGUUUGCAUUUUUUUCUAACCGUGACAUCCCUAAUUUUAAAAAAAGUUACAUGAUUUCUAGAAUAUGUUUGUAUAUUAACACAAGGCCAAAACUUUAAGGUUCUUUAUUUUUUUUAGCUCACCUGUCACAAGGUGACAGGGUGAGCUUUUGUGAUCGCUUUUCAUCCGGCUUCCAUCCGACAUCCAUCUGUCCGGCGUCCGUAAACUGUUACUUUGAAUGACAUCUCCUCAUAAACCACUCUGUCAAUUUCAUCCAAACUUUACAGGAAUGUUCCUUUGGUGGUCACCUUUAAAAUUUGUUCAAAGAAUGUAAUUCCAUGCAGAACUCUGGUUGCCAUGGCAACUGAAAGAAAAAACUUUAGAUAUCUUCUUUUAAAAAACCAAAAGAGCUAGAGCUUAGAUAUUUGACAUGAAACAUCUUUUAGUAAGUGUCUACCAAGUUUGUUCAAAUAAAAGAACUUGGGUCAAAAUUGGCCCUGCCCCAGGGGGUCAUUGAUUUUCCUUAUAUGCAUAUAGUAAAAACUUAAAAAAUCUUCUUUUAAGUUCUAAUGGUUGUCUACCAAGUUUGUUCAAAUUAGAGCCCUGGGGUCAAAAUUGGUCCCGCCCCAGGGGGCAUUGAUUUUCCUUAUAUGUGUAUAGCAAAAACUUAAAAAGUCUUUUUUGAAAAAACCCAUUAGCUAGAGUUUAGAUACUAAGCAUGAAACAUCUUCUAGUGAGUGUCUACAAAGUUUGUUAAAAUAAAAGCCCUUGGGUCAAAAUUGGCCCAUCCCGGGGGACAUUGAUUUUCCUCAUAUGUGUAUAGCAAAUACUUAAAAAUCUUCUUUGAAUAAACCCAAAUAGCUAGAGUUUAGAUCUUAAGCAUGAAACAUCUUCUAGUAAGUGUCUACAAAGUUUGUUCAAAUAAAAGCCCUGGGGUCAAAACUGGACCCGCCCUAGGGGUGUCAUUGUUUUUAACUAUAUGAGUAUAGUUAAAACUUAAAAAAUCUUCUUUUAAAAAACCCAACGAGCUAGAGCUUAGAUGUUUAGCAUGAAACAUCUUCUAAUAGUUGUCUACCAAGAUUGUUCAAUUAAGAGCCCUGGGGUCAAAAUUGGCCACGUGCAGGGGGACAUUGAUUUUCCAUAUAUGUGUAUAGCCAAAACUUAAAAAUCUUCUUUUAAGAAACCUAAAGAGCUAGAGUUUAGAUACUUAUCAUGAAACACCAUUGAGCCAUUGAGUGUCUACCAAGUAUGUUCAAUAAAAACCCUGGGGUAAAAAUUGGACCUGCCGGGGGGGGGGGGGGGGGGGGUCAUUGUUUUUCAUUAUAUGUGUGUAGUUAAAACUUAACAUCUUCUUUUAAAAAUCUCAAAGAUCUAGAGCUUAGAUAUGUAGCAUGAAACAUCUUCUAAUGGGUGUCUACUAAGUUUGUACAAAUAAAAGCCCUGGAAUUAAAACUGGCCCUGCUCCGGGUGCCUAUGUACAGGUGAGCGACUUCAGGGCCAUCAUGGCCCUCUUGUUUUAAAUUUAUGUCUCUUAUUACAUAUUUAUUUAUUUAUAUAUAAAUCAUUUUGAACAUAAUAAUGUUUAAUAUAUAUCUUUUUUUAUUUUUAAAGUUUAAUGUUAUUGUAACUGUUGAAGAAUUUAUUACUUUACACCAUCAAGGAGUUGGCGGAAAUCUGUUUCCUAAGCUACAGUUUAUAAUUCCUGUCACAAUAAUAAUUGAGCACUUUUGUAUGUCAAUGUUAUAUUAUAUAUAACAUGGCUUCCAUUUUAUGAUGAGAUGACUUAAAAAGUAUAAUGUAUGAGUAAAUAAAGACCUUGUUUUGAAAAUCUUUGCAAAAGGUAAGUUUAUGUUUUAAGAUAUUGCCAAGAUCAUCAUUUAUUAUAUUGACAAGGUAAAGUUUAAGAUUAAAUAUAUUGCCAAUGUCAAGGUUUAUUUUAUUGUCAAAGUCAAGUGUAAGGUUAAAUAAAUUCAAAGGUCAAGCAUACAUGUAUGGUUAUUCAUAUUUCUAUAGUCAAAGCUUUAUAUAUUGCAAUGGUCAAUUUAAAGGUUUUAUUUAUUACUAAGCUCACGUUUUAUGUUUAAUACAUUGCAAAGAUUAAAUUUGAGGUUUAGUAUAUUGUUAAGGUCAUGUUAAAUGUUAAAAUUUAUUUUCAUGGUCAAGUUCAAGGUUUACUUAGCAAAUUUUUAUGUUAAAUAUUUUCCCAAAGUCCAGCGUAAGGUUAAAUACAUUUCCGAGGUCAUGCUUAAGGUUUAAUAUAUUGCUAAGGUCAUGUUUAAGGUUUAAUUGAUUGCAAAGGUCACGUUAAAUGUUAAAUAUAUUGCCAAGGUCAUGCUUAUGGUUAAAUAUAUUUCCAAGGUCAUGUUUAAAGUUAAAUAGAUCACCAAGGUAAAGUUUGACGUUUGAUAUAUUGCAGUGGUCACAUUUAAUGUUAAAUAGAUUGCCAAGGUCAUGUUUAAUGUAAAAUAUAUUGCCAAGGUCAUGUUGAAGGUUAAAUAGAUUUCCAAGAUCUUGCUUAAGGAUUUAUAGAUUGCCAAGGUCACGUUGAAGGUUUAAUAGAUUUUUAAGGUCAUGUUUUAGGUUAAAUAGUAUGCCAGAGUCAUGUUUAGGUGUAAUAGAUUGCCAAGGUCAUGUUGAAGGUUAAAUAGAUUUCCAAGAUCAUGCUCAAGGUUUUAUAGAUUGCCAAGGUCACGUUUAAGGUUUAAUAGCUUAGCAAGUUCAUUUUUAAGGUUUAAUAGAUUGCCAAGGUCACGUUCAAGGUUUCAUAGAUUGCCAAGGUCACGCCUAAGAUUUAAUAUAUUACCAAGGUCAUGUUUAAGGUUUAAUAGAUCGCCAAGAUAACGUUUGAAGUUAAAUAUAUUGCAAUGGUCAUGUUUAGGGUUUAAUAUAUUGCCAAGGUCCUGAUUAAGGUUAAAUAGAUUGCAAAGGUCACUUUUAAGGUUAAAUAGAUCACCAAGAUCAUGUUAAAGGUUUAAAAGAUUGCCAAGGUUAUGAUAUUGCUAAGGUCAUGUUUAAGGUUAAAUAGAUUUUGUAGGUCAGGUUUGAGGUUAAAUAAAUUGCCAAGGUCAUGUUUAAGGUUAAAAAUAUUGCAAAGGUCAUGUUAAAUGUUUACUAGAUUGCCAAGAUCACAUGUCAAAUUUAAUAAAUCAAGUUUUAAGUUAACUGUGCAUGUGCAAGACUUGUUUUUUAAAUAGACCAUUUUAAUGAUAAACAUUUUUUCAUGCAGUCUUCCAUGAUAAAGUAUUUUAUUUUAUUUACAGUAAUUACUUAUAUAAGUUUGUAUAAAAUCUUGCAUAAGUGAAAUACUAAGUGAUGCCUUGCUUUGUGUCAUCAGUCUUCGAAUAAUUAAUCAGGUUUUUCAAUGUUGGGUUUUUGUCUUCAAUAUUUUUUUGGCAGAAAUUUAUACCGGCACUGAUCCUUUCUUUAAGUUUGUUCACAUAUGGAGUAUUGAUUGAAAAUUUUGGAUUUGUUACAAUUGUCUGAUAUUUAUUUAUUAUUUGAUAUAAAAGAUAUUCAUUUGUGUAAUAAAUGAUUUAUGGCAUACCCAUGCUGCUUUUUUGUGACUCUGUAAAAAUUGUAUUGCACGGCCAUGCUUAUAUUUUGACAUGAAGUCAUUUGCCUUAUACAAACAUAGUGUUAAGACACGCUGAAUGUAAGCGUAACAUUAUUGGCAUGUCAAUGAAAAUUAAAAAGGAUACAAACAUAGCGUUAAGUCAUGCAAAAUGUAAGCGUUACAUUAUUGGCACGUCAAUGAAAACAUACUGCCUCCGUGGUCGAGGGGAUAGAGUCGAUGACUUCUAAUCCAGUUACCUCUCUGGUGUGGGUUCCAUCACCGGGAGAUGCAUUGGUAGUUUAGCACGGAGGAAGGUAGUCUAGUACUGGUGUCACUCUCCAGGAACGAUGGUUAGGAAACUACCCGCCUAUAUGACUGAAAUACUGUUGGAAAAAGGCGUAAAAUGAAACAAACAAACAAACAAACAAUGAAAACAUUAUUUUUUUACACUUUAAACAGUCUUUAUUUUGGGUAUGUGAUAAAUAGAAUAUCAUAUUCGUGUGGGUUCAUUACUGAAUUUAUUAAACUUGUUGAAUAAAAUAAUAUGCUCGCCAGAGGCUGGCUUGCAUAACAUAAUUUUUAAUAAACUCAUUCAAUAAAUUCAGUAUUGAACCUACACUCAUUCAGUAUAUCCUCUGUGUGUUGUUAUAUCUAACCAUUAUUCAAGGGCUAAAUGUAAAAUGGCUAUAUUUGAUUUAUAACCAGCCCUAAAAAAAAAUGUUGCAUUUCUUUUGUUUGAUGUGUUAAUUAAUUUAUUCUUCCCAUUAUUCUUGUAUGACAUAGUUCACCAUUUUAAUUCAUUAUAUAAGCAGAGAACUUAUCAUAAUUAAUCACCUGGCCAUCAUUGUUUAUGUAGUAACAUCAGCCAAAUGUGAUCUUAUUUUAAGUCAAAUUUUUGUAAGGGGCUCCUGAUUUAUAUUUUCUCUCCAGGUGUAUAGAUGCACAUAAGUUACAAAGAUGAUACUGCCUUUUUGGAUUGCAGUCACAUAUUUAAGCAUGUUAUAUAAAUCAUUAAAGCGGUCUUCAGCUUUUUUUUUAUGGAAAAAAAACAAUAAUGUAUUGUUUCAAACUAAUUAUUUCAGUAAUUCUAUUUUUUAAAAAGUGCAUUAUAUCACUCUAAAGACCCCUUCAAAGCUGUGUCCCGAGAGCUAUUUUAGCGUGCCAAUGACGUUCAUUUCUAUUAAAAGAAGAUUGGGAAACGAAUCGUCCGCUUUACUUAUUUUAUAUAUAGAGCGUGGACUGGUAGAUAAGAAUGGGGUCUUAAAAGAAAAGAAAACACCAAGAUUUGAGUUAUCGAGGGGUUUCCUUAUUGUUUAAUAUGUAUUUCAUUGACGGCAAUUUUCAUUUCCAUCUUAUUUCUUAUAAUUUGACAAUUAUAUCAAACCUUUAGAAAAUCCGAAGGCCGCUUUAACGCACUAGUCAUUACAAAUGCAAUAUACAUAUGUAGACGUAAUAUUGUAAUAUUUAUCAUGUUAUUUUACAUUAAGAUAGUUGUAAAUAUUGGGUAAUAUUAUAUAAUGUUUUCAUUAUUAUGUUAUUUUGAUGCAUGUAUAACAUGCACAUAUACAUCACGAUUUGACUCUGUAUUGUAUAAAAAUAUGAUCCCGAGUAUGUUUCAUAAAUAGCAUAUUACAGUUAAUACAUAUACUUAAAUAUACAGCGAUAUAUUGGCAUCUUUAUAAAAUUUGAUAAGAAUUAAUCCAUUACUACACUAAGGCGAUGAUAUUAUAAUAAAGGGUUCAUUGAAGAAGUA